GGAUGGUUUUAUUUCAUCAAAAUAUAUAUGUACUACAUCAAACAAAAACAUGAGUCAAAACAUUUGUAUAAUUUGGAUAAAACAUCACAAUCACCAAAACACAGUCACAGAUAAUACAGUGAAAUGAGACGAGGAAAUGCACUGUUGAUAUAAAAAAUAUUCUGCACUUCAGUAAAAUAUUAUACAUAACAAAUAUCACAUUAAAAAGUUUGACAUGAAUAUAUAUAAAGCUGACUAUGCUUGCUUUACCAUAAAUUCAUAAUUUCAUAUCCUACUAAUGCAAUUUAAGUUCUUUUCUAAGAAUAUUUACACUGUUCAAUUUGGAUGUAAAAAAUAUUUAUAAAUUGGAUCUGUCGUAAACAAACAUGAAUGCAAUAUUAUAGGUUAAUAAUUUAUCUUAAAGAUGGACUUUUGGGUCAAAGGUCAAUUGCCAAGGUUAUAUCCAGUUGCCAAAAAUCCAGUGAAAAAAGUUAUUGACCUGACUGAGGUCAAAGGUCAAUUCUGUUGGUAUAAGAUGAUGUACCCACAUGCCAAUUAUCAAAAGCCUAUGUCAAGAGGAUAAGACAAGAAUGUACCCGAAGAUUGACAUAAAUAUGGGAUAUAACACUACAUCCCAUAUUAUUCCAAUGGUAGUCAUAACAUAACUACUUAGAUGACUGUUCCCUUAGGAAUUAUUUUAAAUCUUAAGAUUACAGUUCAAAAGAAUACGAAUCUUUUUUAAUGCAGAGUGAUUAAAAUAAAUCAUAAAAGUUUCUUCUAAUUCAUAAACAUGUGAGACUUGUUAUAAAACUACUGAAGUGCAGGAUAUUGAAAUUUAUUAAAUAAAGGAAUGUUGUUAAAAUACAAACAAAAUAAGGAAUGCCCGUUAAAGAGAGAACACAUAGUACACAUUAUUUCAAUAUUAUAUGUUUCUUAAUCAUAUAAAUUAACAAAAUCUAACUUUCACUCAUUUUAUACUUUGUUCAAAGCUGCUAUACAUAUAAAAGCAUUGACAAGUUAUUUUCUAGUCAAUCCAUU
rnacentral:lncRNA from 1 species